UACGUAGGGCGCAAGCGUUGUCCGGAAUAUUGGGCGUAAAGAGCUCGUAGGCGGUUUGUCGCGUCUGCUGUGAAAGUCCGAGGCUCAACCUCGGAUCUGCAGUGGGUACGGGCAGACUAGAGUGUGGUAGGGGAGACUGGAAUUCCUGGUGUAGCGGUGGAAUGCGCAGAUAUCAGGAGGAACACCAAUGGCGAAGGCAGGUCUCUGGGCCACAACUGACGCUGAGGAGCGAAAGCAUGGGGAGCGAACAGG
rnacentral:rRNA from 1 species